rnacentral:rRNA from 1 species
AAAAGGGGAUUAUAAGAAAAAUUAAAAUUUAUGAUUAAUUGAAAAAAAUAAUUUUUUUUUAGUAGUGAGAAAGGAAAGAUUUGGGUAAAUUAUAGUGUAUUAGUAUUGUGAAAGAAAUUUUUUAUUGGGGAAAAAGAAAAAUUUUGUUUUGUACCUUGUGUAUCAGGGUUAAUUAAAUUUUUUAGAGAAAUUAAUUUUCUCGAAUUUAAAAGAGUUAAUUUUUUAUUAAUUUAUUGUUGAAUAAAUAUUUAUAAUAAGGAGUUAGUAAUGAAAUGUUAUUCGUUUUUAAUAUAUCUAGUUAUUAAAGAAAAAAGUUUAAUUUGUUUAUUAAAAUAGGUUAAUUUUGAGUUUUUAAUUUAAUUUUUUUAAUAGGUUAUUUUUUAGGGGAUUAGCUUUUUAAGAAAGUAUUAAAAAUUUAUAUAUUAGGGAAAAAAUUAUAGGGUUAGAAGUGCUUAUUUGUAGAAUAAUGUUAUAAUUAAUUUUUUUGAAAAUUUUAUUUUUAUGAAUUUUAAAUAGUUUAUUUAAUUAGUUAUUAAAAUUAGUAAAAUUAAGAAAUAAUGAUUAAAUUAGUAAUAAUUAUUGUAUAGUUAAUAAAAAUUAAAGGUAAUUUUAAGGAAUUCGGCAAUUAUUUUUUUCACCUGUUUAUUAAAAACAUGGCUUUUUGUUUAUAAUUUAAGGUCUAACCUGCCCACUGAGUAGUUAAAUGGCUGCGGUAUCCUGACCGUGCUAAGGUAGCAUAAUCAUUAGUUUUUUAAUUGAAAGCUGGUAUGAAUGGUUGAAUGAGAAAAAAACUGUCUCAAAAUUAAUUUUUAUGAAUUUUAUUUUUAAGUAAAAAAGCUUAAAUUUCUUUAAAAGACGAGAAGACCCUAUAGAGUUUUAUUUAUUUAUUAAUUUAAAGAUUUAGUAUUUUUGAUAUGAAUUAAUAAAUAUAUUUGGUUGGGGUGAUUAAAAAAUUUAAUAAACUUUUUUAUUAUUGAAACAUUGAUUUAUGAAUAUUUGAUCCAUAUUUAUGUGAUUAAUAGAAAAAAUUACCUUAGGGAUAACAGCGUAAUUUUUUUUGAGAGUUCUUAUCGAAAGAAAAGAUUGCGACCUCGAUGUUGGAUUAAAAUUAAUUUUUGGUGAAGAAGCUAAAAUAUUAGGUCUGUUCGACCUUUAAAAUUUUACAUGAUCUGAUUUAAACCGGUGUAAGCCAGGUUGGUUUUUAUCUUUAAUAAAUUAAUAUGUUUUAGUACGAAAGGACCAAAUUUAUAAUAUAAUAUUUUUUAUAAGAAUAUAAUU